UCUUGUGUUGCUGCUCUGUCACUCUUUGAUACGGUGACCCGGAGCCCUUUAAAUGAAAAGCAGUUGCAGAAUCGGCAGCAAUUUCAAACUUCUGCCAGAACACGCGUCUAUAGGGAGCUGGACCUUGGGGAUGAGGCCAUGUGUCUGGGAAGAGGCCUGGUUUGUGUCCUUGGCUUUGACCACUCUCAGUCUGAAGGCCUUGGCUUCUUGUCUUCCGCAGUAGAACAUAGAUUCUUUAAGGGGUGGCCAAGCCUUCCUUUAGACUUGACCUGUGCCUUGUUCCAUCUGACACGGGAGGGUUUUCCUUUCACCAACUGGUAUUUUUAUAACCUUUGCCGGGCCAGGCCUAGAAGCAGAGGCCCAAAGUUCCAUUUUCAGAGUGACUGAAGGUCAAUACCUUGGCAGUGAGGAGCAGCAGCCGUGUAGCUACCAGCAAGGCCUUCACAGAUGACAAGAAUCCACACUCGGAAAGCUAAGCAUAAACAGAAGACACCCAGCAACACACACAUACCUUGGCUGUCAACUGCAAGAGAAGGUUGUAGGACCGGAAACAUUGACAAUGAAAUGAAGAAUUGAAGGACCUCAUCCACAGGACUCUGGACUAUGAACUUUUUGGACAACGACAUGGUGUUAUAAUGUCUGGAGGCGGUACAUGCCUCUGGUCUUUGGCUUAUGACACGUGCCACUGCCUACUUUUGUACUUCACUGAGGACCCUGUGAUUGUCUGGAGCAAAGGAGGGCAGCUAGAUGACACUGAGAGAGGAUCUCACCCAAGGGUCUUUCUCUACAUGGGCAACCAUCUCUUCUCAGCCCGCUCAGCAUCACCUUCUAAAACAGCUUCAGAGAGACAUAACUUCUACUCAAGGAUCUCAGACUUUUUUGUUGCUAUUGAUCUUUACAAUGUUCCCCAGAUCCAGGGAGGAGAGAAUUAAAGAUCCUAUCAUAAC
rnacentral:lncRNA from 1 species